AGGUUGACCUCGGGAUCAGGUAGGGGAUACCCGGCUGAAAC
rnacentral:rRNA from 1 species